rnacentral:tRNA from 1 species
GGUGGGUUGGCUCAGUGGUUAGAGCGUAGGUCUCGCAACCGAAAGGUCGCAGGAUCGAAUCCUGCUAGAGGCUG